UUUUGACAUUUGAAAAUGGACUGCUCAGUAAUACUCACUUUAUUUUAUGUACAUUUGAAAUUAACUACGUUAAAGUGUAGAUAAGAUGUGUACAGUAAGAGUGAGACCUAUCAGCUAGUUGUUAAGGUAAUGGCUUAACAAGGCAGUGACGGGUAACGGUAUUACUUUGUAAUAUUCCGGAGAAGGAGCCUGAGAGACGGCUACUAAGUCUAAGGAUUGCAGCAGGGGCGAAACUUGACCUAUGGAUUUUAUCUGAGGCAGUUAUGGGAAGUAAUAUUAUAUUGUUUCAUAUUUUAAAAGUAUAUGAGGUGAUUAAUUGGAGGGCAAAUCAAGUGCCAGCAGCCGCGGUAAUACUUGUUCCAAGAGUGUGUAUGAUGAUUGAUGCAGUUAAAAAGUCCGUAGUUUAUAUUUAAGAAGCAAUAUGAGGUGUACUGUAUAGUUGGGAGAGAGAUGAAAUGUGACGACCCUGACUGGACGAACAGAAGCGAAAGCUGUACACUUGUAUGUAUUUUUUGAACAAGGACGUAAGCUGGAGGAGCGAAGAUGAUUAGAUACCAUUGUAGUUCCAGCAGUAAACUAUGCCGACGAUGUGAUAUGAAAUUAUUUGUAUUACAUAAUAGAAAUUAGAGUUUUUUGGCUCUGGGGAUAGUAUGAUCGCAAGAUUGAAAAUUAAAGAAAUUGACGGAAGAAUACCACAAGGAGUGGAUUGUGCGGCUUAAUUUGACUCAACGCGAGGUAACUUACCAAUAUUUUAUUAUUUUGAGAGGAUUUUUAAUCUGAGAAUGAUAAUAGUGGUGCAUGGCCGUUUUCAAUGGAUGCUGUGAAGUUUUGAUUAAUUUCAACAAGACGUGAGACCCUUUUAUUAUAGACAGACACAAUCAGUGUAGGAAGGAAAGGAUUAAAACAGGUCCGUUAUGCCCUCAGACAUUUUGGGCUGCACGCGCAAUACAAUAGAUAUAUGAUCUUUAUGGGAUAAUAUUUUGUAAGAGAUAUUUGAACUUGGAAUUGCUAGUAAAUUUUAUUAAAUAAGUAGAAUUGAAUGUGUCCCUGUUCUUUGUACACACCGCCCGUCGCUAUCUAAGAUGAUAUAUGUUGUGAAAUUAGUGAAAACUAC
rnacentral:rRNA from 1 species